GAACGAAGCAAUUAAGUGGAAGCCUUCGGGUGGAAAUUUAAUUGACUUAGUGGCGGACGGGUGAGUAACGCGUGGGUAACCUGCCUUAUACAGGGGGAUAACAGCUGGAAACGGCUGCUAAUACCGCAUAAGCACACAGUAUCGCAUGGUACAGUGUGAGAAGAUUUAUCGGUAUAAGAUGGACCCGCGUCUGAUUAGCUAGUUGGUGAGGUAAUGGCCCACCAAGGCGACGAUCAGUAGCCGGCUUGUGAGAGUGAACGGCCACAUUGGGACUGAGACACGGCCCAAACUCCUACGGGAGGCAGCAGUGGGGAAUAUUGCACAAUGGGGGAAACCCUGAUGCAGCGACGCCGCGUGAGUGAAGAAGUAUUUCGGUAUGUAAAGCUCUAUCAGCAGGGACGAUAAUGACGGUACCUGACUAAGAAGCCCCGGCUAACUACGUGCCAGCAGCCGCGGUAAU
rnacentral:rRNA from 1 species